AGGGGGGAUAAGGAAAUUGGGAGGGGGGGAGAUAAAUAAUCCAAUCUUUACUUAUCCCCCCCUCCCAAUUUCCUUAUCCCCCUCCCAAUCUUUCU